rnacentral:rRNA from 1 species
AGAGUUUGAUUAUGGCUCAGAAUCAACGCUGGCGGCGCGCCUAACACAUGCAAGUCGAACGAGAAAGGGGAGCAAUCCCUGAGUACAGUGGCGUACGGGUGAGUAACACGUGGAUGAUCUGCCUCUUUGUGGGGAAUAACCCUGGGAAACCGGGGCUAAUACCGCAUAAGCCCGAGAGGGGAAAGCAGCAAUGCGCAGAGAGAGGAGUCCGCGGCCGAUUAGCUAGUUGGCGGGGUAAAAGCCCACCAAGGCAAAGAUCGGUAGCCGGCCUGAGAGGGCACACGGCCACACUGGCACUGAAACACGGGCCAGACUCCUACGGGAGGCAGCAGUGGGGAAUCUUGCACAAUGGGGGAAACCCUGAUGCAGCGACGCCGCGUGAGCGAUGAAGCCCUUCGGGGUGUAAAGCUCUUUCGGCAGGGAAGAUGAUGACGGUACCUGCAGAAGCAGCUGCGGCUAACUACGUGCCAGCAGCCGCGGUGAUACGUAGGCAGCAAGCGUUGUUCGGAGUUACUGGGCGUAAAGGGUGUGUAGGCGGUCCCUUAAGUUUGUUGUGAAAUCUCCCGGCUCAACUGGGAGGGUGCGGCGAAUACUGAGGGGCUAGAGUGCGGGAGAGGAAAGUGGAAUUCCUGGUGUAGCGGUGAAAUGCGUAGAUAUCAGGAGGAACACCGGUGGUGUAGACGGCUUUCUGGACCGUAACUGACGCUGAGACACGAAAGCGUGGGUAGCAAACAGGAUUAGAUACCCUGGUAGUCCACGCCCUAAACGAUGCAUAUUUGGUGUGGGUCAUUCAGUUGAUCCGUGCCGGAGCUAACGCGUUAAAUAUGCCGCCUGGGGAGUACAGUCGCAAGGCUGAAACUCAAAUGAAUUGACGG